rnacentral:lncRNA from 1 species
UUUCUAUAAAAUGAACAACAUUACGGUAACCACUAACUUAGCACGACAAAUCACAAUAAAGUAUUAGGGACUAAUCUAAUAACCUAAACAACUCGGCCAAUUACUCGUUACCGGCUACAAUGAGAAAAAUGGACCAAAGUUGUUUUGAUUCGCAUUCACAACAAAUAUUAACUUUUUAAAAGACCAAACUAUACCAUAUGUGUCAUUCAAACAAAGAAAUUAAGACUAAAAGUAUAAACUAGAUACUGUAGACACAUAUGACAUAUAAAUUAUGAACAAAUUCCAUUCUUUUAGUCUCUGCCAAUUUUCAGUUUCAUGCAUACUCUCAUAUUGACAUAUAUAUUAAAUGAACUAUUAAGAAUGUAGACAUCAAAUAGAGCCACAAGCAAUUGCCCUUGGAAUUGAAGAAUCGACAUGUCACAUAAUGAAAGAUUAAUCACCAAAAGAGAUAAUGUUUUAAAUAAUCUUGCAGACCAGACUCUAACAAAGCAAGAUUUGGAAAAUAGAGCACCGAUUUUAACUCCACUUUAUUAGAAUAAAAUAGUCAUUCCUUACUCUCUCAAGAAGCUACAAACAACAAACAUGAUGAUUGCAGGGGUUUAUUGGCAUAGCCUCACGACCGUAUUCAAAGACAUGCGAAGCACUGGAAAGUCCUGAUAAAUUUUAACCCUUUAACACAAGGGAAAAUAUUUAAAGGAGCUUAACAAUAGCAAAACGAGAAGGCUGAGACCCUAAAGGACAUAUAUUAAGCUCAAGUAUAAGACUAAAACUUUAGGAAAUGCAUAUUUUAACUUUCUUAAAGAAACCUCAAGGAGCAAAGUACAAAUAUGGUGCUAUACUAAUGACUCUCUCGAUGGAAGCAAAACAUAAACAACAAAUAUAAGAU